GACGAACGCUGGCGGCGUGCUUAACACAUGCAAGUCGAAUGGAAAGGCCCUGCUUUUGUGGGGUGCUCGAGUGGCGAACGGGUGAGUAACACGUGAGUAACCUGCCCUUGACUUUGGGAUAACUUCAGGAAACUGGGGCUAAUACCGGAUAGGAGCUCCUGCUGCAUGGUGGGGGUUGGAAAGUUUCGGCGGUUGGGGAUGGACUCGCGGCUUAUCAGCUUGUUGGUGGGGUAGUGGCUUACCAAGGCUUUGACGGGUAGCCGGCCUGAGAGGGUGACCGGCCACAUUGGGACUGAGAUACGGCCCAGACUCCUACGGGAGGCAGCAGUGGGGAAUAUUGCACAAUGGGCGGAAGCCUGAUGCAGCAACGCCGCGUGCGGGAUGACGGCCUUCGGGUUGUAAACCGCUUUCGCCUGUGACGAAGCGUGAGUGACGGUAAUGGGUAAAGAAGCACCGGCUAACUAUGUG
rnacentral:rRNA from 1 species